rnacentral:tRNA from 1 species
UAUAUUCUAGUAUAAGAUGUACGAGAAUUUUUGAAAUUCUAAGAAAUAAUUUAA